rnacentral:rRNA from 1 species
CUUCGGCCCGAGUUGUAAUUUGCAGAGGAUGUUUAUGGUGCAGUACCUUCCGAGUUCCCUGGAACGGGACGCCACAGAGGGUGAGAGCCCCGUCUGGUUGGAUACUAAACCUGUGUUAAACUCCUUCAACGAGUCGAGUAGUUUGGGAAUGCUGCUCUAAAUGGGAGGUAAAUCUCUUCUAAAGCUAAAUACCGGCCAGAGACCGAUAGCGCACAAGUAGAGUGAUCGAAAGAUGAAAAGCACCUUGAAAAGGGGGUUAAACAGUACGUGAAAUUGUUGAAAGGGAAGCGAUUAUGACCAGACUUGUGCCGUGUGGCUCAUCCGAGGUUCUCCCCGGUGCACUCCACACGGCUCAGGCCAACAUCGGUUUUCGUUGGGGGAUAAGAAUAGUAGGAACGUAGCUUUCUUCGGAGAGUGUUAUAGCCUAUUAUACGAUACUCUGACGGGGACCGAGGACCGCGCUUCGGCUAGGAUGUUGGCGUAAUGGUCAUUACCGACCCGUCUUGAAACACGGACCAAGGAGUCGUCCAUUAGAGCGAGCGUUUGGGUGUAAAACCCGCACGCGUAAUGAAAGUGAAAUUAGGUGAGAGCUUCGGCGCAUCAUCGACCGAUCCUGAAGUUUACGGACGGAUUUGAGUAAGAGUUUUAACGGACGGACCCGAAAGACAGUGAACUAUGCUUGAAUAGGGUGAAGCCAGAGGAAACUCUGGUGGAGGCUCGCAGCGGUUCUGACGUGCAAAUCGAUCGUCAAAUUUGAGCAUGGGGGCGAAAGACUAAUCGAACUGUUAGCUACUAGGCAGUUAAAAGUUUCCCAGUAAUGGGAGGCUAGUGGGCACCUAUAGCGUGCCUGCGACACCGUCAAAUUGCGGGGACCUCCUGUUAAAUGUACAGUACCGCGGCUUUUUCGAAAGAUUAAGUGCAGCACCAGGUGUAAUGGCCUGGGUAUGGUAAUAAACUGUUUACAUAGGGAAAAUCCGCAGCCAAGCCCUAAAGCUCUUUUAUAGAGUCAUGGGUGCAGUUCACAGACUAGACGUCGGUGGGCCUUUAGAGGCUUAAGAUAUAGUCGAGACCCCCUAGUAAUAGGUGGGAUUA